rnacentral:lncRNA from 1 species
GGCUUUUACCUGGUCUGCGAGAAAUCAAACUUUGGACACAAGUCAUGAAGCCGACAAGCCCGGGAGACACAGUGUCAGAAUUACAAGGUGAGAUCAGCCGCCCGGCCAAGCUAUCUUCUCGCUAGCAGGAACACUAUAAGGCCUGUUAGAGAAGAAAGGGUAGAAUCCCGAGAAUGUUUUCCCCACAGUGCUGAUAAGGAGAGACCACUAUCCCAUCUACUGCUACAGCUCUGGAGACAUAGCUCUCCCAUCUGUCAUAUAGAACACAAGGACCAAUCUGCAGAGAAAGAGCAUCCAAACCUGAUCCAGUGGACACUGGGGAAAAACUCACCACAGCUGAGUGUGGAAAAACAAGGCCAACACACACAUCUCUGCACAGAUACAUCUCCCAUCAAGAAACUAAAGUGUUAAUUUACAGGGCACUGUUGCAGACCCACUUCAGCUGGAAGCUAGGAACAUGGACAAGGAGCCUCUCUACCACCGAGGGAGAGAGAGGAAUGUGCUCUUGUCCUGGCAUUGCAUCCACAGGAGGGGCAAGAAAUUCUUUGAAGGUCCCGCAUCUGGGGCUCGAUCUCGUGCAGAGGAGCAUUUCCGAAGACACUGGCCGCUCCCACAAUGGCUCCGAAGACCCCAGCGACCAGCGAGUUCAUGAGUUUGUUGGGGUUGUCCGCUCGGUACCAGCUGCGCAGGGAUGUCAGGACAAAGAAACAAGUUGCCUG